UUAAGAAAGCAGAAAUUUUGCGCUCCUUAGAAUCUGUACUUGCCACAAGACGAUAACACUUGAAGGAAGUGAGUAGGGUUUUUUUUUGUAAAUGAAUGAGUGACAGUUUCGUUCAGGUGAUGGUCACCCCUUCUCCUCUUCUCUCUCUUUAGUAAUUUCAUCCCCUUAACCCCCCGCCCCCCCAUUUCACAGAUUAAACAGACCUUUAGACUGAGAAAUAGCAACUGAAUACAGUCUGAGACGCCGCUACUUUCAAGUGGGUCUGGGUGGGUUACCCUUCGGAGGGUCGGUGUGGACUUGUUGGACCGAAGGGCCUGUUUCUGCACUGGAGGGAAUCUGAUCUAACUCUGUCUCUCGGUAUUUCUGAUUUGGAGGUGCCGGUGUAGCACGGGGGUCAUCUCGGUAUUUCGAUCUCAUCGCAUUCCCAUUUUGGUGUCAAGCGGGAAGUUUGUACACUUGACACACAAUUCUGUGUGUGUUUUGUAAAUGGAAUCACCCGCCUUAAAUACCUUCUCGCCGAGCACCUGACAGAACCGUAGGCUUGUCCAGCGCCAAAAGAGGCCCCUCGUUCCAUCCAGUCUGUGCUAACCUCUCUGCAUUAAUCCCACUUUCCAGCUCUUGGCCCCUAGCCUGGAAUGGCUCGAUGUUUGAAGUGCUCAUUCCAAAUCUGUGAGAGGUUCCCAUCUCUACUAUCCGCUCAGGCAAUGCAAUCCACUUUCCUUGGAAAUCAAAAUCCUCAAAUCCCUUCUAAACCUCCUGCCUUACACUUUAAAGUGAGACUGUCUUCUAAUUGACCCCUCAAUCAAGCUGCUUCCCAUCCACCGUGUCCAUUCCCCACGUGGUCUUAUACACCUCCACCAGCUUCCCCUCUCGACCUUCUCCACUCUAGAGAAUAUAACUUGAGCUUAUCCAGCCUCUCUGCGUAGGCAAGAUGCUCUAUCCCAGGCGCCAUCCUUGGGAAUGUCCUCUGCACCCACUCCAGUGCCGUGUGCAGAGGAUUUGUGGUGGAAAGCAACUGAUGGAGACUGGUUCAACUGAGGCAUCCAGAAGGUUUAACCAUAGGCACGAAACAGCAUGAUUGAAAAGAAAAAUGAUGAGAGAAACUAGAAGCAGCAGGUGAAGAGGAACCAUUCUGCAGCAUCCAUGUAUCAGGAACAGGCCAUUUGGAUAUUGAUUCAUAUGAAGUGCAAAUGUGAAUUACUCACACCACUGCUGCCAGUCAACAUCCUGUGGGCUACCAUUAACUAGAAACUGCACCAGGCUUGCCAUAUAAAGACUGUGGCUAAAAGACAGCGCAGAGGCUGGGGUGCUGCUGUAGGUAACUCACCACCUGGCUCCCCAAAGCCUGUCUACCGCUGAUAAGCUCAAGUUAGGAGUGGAUGGAAUACAGUAGUUCCCACCCCACCCCGUACCCGUGGGGGAUAUGUUCCAGGACCUACUAUGGAAGCCCAAAACCGCGGAUAGGAGUGAACCCAUUCAUUUCAAUGUACCUUCCUGGCAGCCUCCUGGUACCUGAUUCCGGGACGUUCCCUAUAAUAUAUCCCGGCCGCGGUAAACCACGGGUAACUGAAACCGCGGAAAACGAUUCGGCGGAUGUAGGGGUCGCCCUGUACUUUCCACUUGGUUGGAUGAGCGGACUUCCAAGAAACUUGACACCAUCCAGGACAAAGACCAUUCACCAACCAAAGCAUUCAGUCCCUGCACCGACCGUUGCAACAACACAUACCAUCUGUGAGAUGCACUCACCAGACCCUCCGUCAGCACCUUCCAAACCCAUGGCCACCACUACCUGGAACUUCAUAGCUUUCGCAUAAGUUGAACAAACCUUUGAUCUUUUGCUUAUAAAUUCUGCGUCCGAUGUAUUCUCUCUCAGGAGCUGCCUUAGGAAGGAACGGGGGCUCUGAAAGCUUGCGGUUUCAAAUAAACCUG